GUGGGGCUGAGAGAAGGAAAGGACCAGUUGGAGAGUGAAGAAUUUAUCAAAGUGUGGAAACCCGAAGGAUCGAGUAAAGUCGGUGGUGUUGGCGGUUUAAUACAGGAUCGACCUUAUUGGAUCUUCAUUCAGGAAAUAGUAACCUGCAUCCGAGAUAAACCCUGCCUUGAAGAGCAGAAAGGGUUGGGACAGUGUUAUUCGCCAAGGAAAAGAGCGGGCAGCGGAGUCCGUGGGAGCAGAGUCCUGGGCUUUGGCUAAGUGGGCUUCGGCGUAAGGGGACUUCGGUAAGCCUGUGUGAUUGCUCGCUGAGGGGAAGAAGGUAAGGUCGCUUUUUAGACUUAUUCUAUUAAUCCAGUUCAGGUAUGGGGGAGACAGUCAGAGCAGUGGUGUGCUCCGUAUGCAGUAUGUGGGAAGUCAGGGUCAACACAAUUG